GACGAACGCUGGCGGCGUGCUUAACACAUGCAAGUCGAACGGUAAGGCCCUUCGGGGUACACGAGUGGCGAACGGGUGAGUAACACGUGGGUGAUCUGCCCUGCACUUCGGGAUAAGCCUGGGAAACUGGGUCUAAUACCGGAUAGGACUCCGGACUGCAUGGUCUGGGGUGGAAAGCUUUUGCGGUGUGGGAUGGGCCCGCGGCCUAUCAGCUUGUUGGUGGGGUGAUGGCCUACCAGGGCGACGACGGGUAGCCGGCCUGAGAGGGUGACCGGCCACACUGGGACUGAGAUACGGGCCAGAAUCCUACGGGAGGCAGCAGUGGGGGAUAUUGCACAAUGGGCGCAAGCCUGAUGCAGCGACGCCGCGUGAGGGAUGACGGCCUUCGGGUUGUAAACCUCUUUCAGCAUCGACGAAGCGAAAGUGACGGUAGGUGCAGAAGAAGGACCGGCCAACUACGUGCCAGCCGCCGCGGUAA
rnacentral:rRNA from 1 species